GACGAACGCUGGCGGCGUGCUUAACACAUGCAAGUCGAACGGAAAGGCCUCUUUCGUGGGGUACUCGAGUGGCGAACGGGUGAGUAACUCGUGAGUAACCUGCCCUUGUCUUUGGGAUAACUUCCGGAAACUGGGGCUAAUACCGGCCAGGUGAUCCUGUUGCAUGGAGGGGUUUGGAUAGUUUCGGCGGUUGGGGUUGGACUAGCGGGUUAUCGGCUUGUUGGGGGGGUAUUGGCUUACCAAGGCUUUGCCGGGUAGCCGACCUGAGACGGUGACCGGCGACACAGGGACUGAGGGACGGCCCAGACUCGUAAGGUAGGCAACAGUGGGAAAUAUUGCAGAAUGAGGGGAAGCGUGAUGAAGAAGCGCCGGGUGCGGGAAAACGGGCUUCGGGUGGAAAACCGCUUUCGCACAUGACGGAGCUUUGUGUGACGGUAGCGGAUAAGAAAGCAACGGCUAACUACGUG
rnacentral:rRNA from 1 species